AUACGUAGGGUGCAAGCGUUAAUCGGAAUUACUGGGCGUAAAGCGUGCGCAGGCGGUUUUGUAAGACAGAGGUGAAAUCCCCGGGCUCAACCUGGGAACUGCCUUUGAGACUGCCAGGCUAGAGUACGGCAGAGGGGGGUGGAAUUUCCCGUGUAGCGGUGAAAUGCGUAGAUAUGCGGAGGAACACCGAUGGCGAAGGCAAUCCCCUGGGCCUGUACUGACGCUCAUGCACGAAAGCGUGGGGAGCAAACAGGAUUAGAUACCCGGGUAGUCCACGCCCUAAACGAUGUCAACUGGUUGUUGGGUCUUCAUUGACUCAGUAACGAAGCUAACGCGUGAAGUUGACCGCCUGGGGAGUACGGCCGCAAGGUUGAAACUCAAAGGAAUUGACGGGG
rnacentral:rRNA from 1 species